UACGUAGGGGGCAAGCGUUGUCCGGAUUUAUUGGGCGUAAAGAGCAUGUAGGCGGUUCGGUAGGUCCGUUGUGAAAACUCGAGGCUCAACCUCGAGACGCCGAUGGAAACCCUCGAACUAGAGUCCGGAAGAGGAGAGUGGAAUUCCUGGUGUAGCGGUGAAAUGCGCAGAUAUCAGGAAGAACACCCGUGGCUAAGGCGGCUCUCUAGUACGGUACUGACGCUGAGACGCGAAAGCGUGGGGAGCGAACAGG
rnacentral:rRNA from 1 species